GGCUGGUACAGCGCAGGGGGGUCUAUC
rnacentral:sRNA from 1 species